CCCCGUCUAAAAGCAUAAGUUGUAGAAGUUGACAACUGUAGUGAGUACUGUACAUCGAUCUUCUAGAUCCGAGACAUCAGAAAUUUAAGGAACAGCAUUUUUUUUGCAUGUGCAGCAUUACGCAAUGAACUUGUGAGCUGAAUGAUAGUGCAAAACAAGUGCAAAUGUUGUAAAUAAUAUUUUUACUGCUCUGUGUUUCUUCUUUGACUGUCUGACUUUCAGUAAGUAAAAAAAAAAAAAAAAAAAAAAAUCUAAGAGAUAAAAUAAAGUAAAAAGUGAAAAGAAGUGUUUUCCAAUGAAGAAGGCAGUGUUGUUGAGUUUAUGGGGUGGUGAUGUGACCCCUCACCUUGCCAAGACUUUUCAGAAAUUUGAGGAAACCCUAUGUAUUUCAAGGGGUUUCAUAAAAAAUGUCAUUACAACACCUGGCAGUGAGAAUGCUCUGUAUCAUGCAGAGACAGGGAAGAUUACUCUGACUCAUUCAUUCAUUCAUCCAUUCAUUCAUGCAUAUUGUCCACGGGUUAUUAAUUAGAUUUUCCAGAGUUUGAAGCUGAAUGUCAGAAGGUGGCAGCCGAUCAGGGUUUGUCUUUACCUGCCCAGUUCUCGGUUGAGAAACUUUUAGAUUAAAUUAGGCAGGUGGAAUUCAACAAGCCAGUUCUUGAUGCUGCAGCUGUGCUUCGCCGCCAUGGCAUUGCCACCUUCGUCUUGAUUGAUAUCUGGGUGGAUGACACUGAGACCAUAUCGCUAGGAUUGUCGCUGUUCUGGAGAGCCGUUUUGACCUGGUUGUUCAUUCUUGUCAUGUUGGUGUCAGAAUACCUGAGCAUGAAAUCUUCAACAAUGCUCUCGAGAAACAACCUCAAGAAAUUUGGUCAUGGUUUUUGAGGAUGAAGACAUGUCACACAACCUGUCCAUGCUGGCAUCUGCUAAUUUGGCUAGAUUCUACCAAGUGACUGAUGCAUUGCAACCAAAGUACUGUUUGACGCACAGGCUUUGACGUCAACAACAAUAACAACAACAAAAAAGAGCAUUGUUUCCUCCCUCCUAUUUAAAAAUUCCUAAGACUAUUUAUUUAAGUAUAUUAACCAUGCACGAUUAUAUGGCUAAUUGCAUUUUCUUAUUUGCAUUUAGCAUUGUUUUUGUUUUGUUUUUUCAGAACAGACCUGAGACCCAUUUUGUGGGUCAUAGCCCACCAAUUAAGAGCCACUGUGCUGGAUGAAUAUUGUUCUGUCUUAUAAAUCAUUUAUGUUUUAAGGUGAUCUGGCUGGACGUUGGUGAAGAGAGCAUCGAGGCAGCUGAAGGUUUGGGAAUAACAGCUGUUCAGAUCAAUGACAUUACUGAAGCUCUUAAGGAAAUCCAAAAGCUUACAGGAAUAGUUUAUUCUAAACAAAUGAAUUCUAAUGCAUGAAUCCCAGUCCAUGCCAUUUUAGAACAGUUUGCUGUGUAGCAGCCUCUUGGAAACUUGUGUAAAAACAAAAAUGAUGACAAUGACAAGUUCUCUGUCUAAAGUUGUCGUUGGGUUGGCGUAUAUACUGAAACGGAAAACUGCUCAUCUUAACAGUUCACCAAAGAUGUUCAACCAAUGUUUUGUGAUCCUGAAAAUGUCAUUCAUGGAUAUGCAAAUAUUAAGCCUGGGGUGAAGAUCCACUACGUGGACAUGGGAGAUGGGCCACCUGUUCUUCUUUGCCAUGGGUUCCCAGAGAGUUGGUUCUCCUGGAGGUAUCAGGAUGCAAGUUCUAAAUUUAGCACCGCUGGGGUCUGUGAGAGAGGGGGCCUCUGAACUGGUACCGAAAUGGGGAGAGGAACUGGCAUUGGAUGUGUUCCAGGCCAAGGGAUCGUGAUGCCAGCUUUAAUGGUGACUGCAGGAAAGGACCCUGUACUUCUGUCUGUUUUUGCCACUGGCAUGGAGAACCUGGUUCCAAACUUCACGAGAGGCCACGCUGAGGAGUCAGAUGGAGAGUU